CGUCUAUGUCUGUAGCAUUCUGAUAAAGCUCCUAGUAAACAAUUAUCACCUGUGAGACUAAAAUGGAAGGUCAGUGAAGACUGCAGAUUGCUACAAAGCUGAGCUGUGAAUGUGGAAACGGAAGACUUGCGAGUAAAAUGUAUUUUAAUACUUAAGGCCUUAGUCACAAAACCAGAUCCACAGAGUUCUUUCAGGAAAUCCCAGAGGGCCAUGCUUCUUGAGUCGGGUAAGAACUCAGAUUUCAAAUGCAUUGUCUUUAAACUUAGAAACUAAUUGGAUUUACAUUCUUUCUCUAGUUGCUCCCAGUUUUUUAACUUAGUAACUAAC
rnacentral:lncRNA from 1 species